UUGGCUGAAUGAAAACAGCCAUCACGGCAGCUCCCAUCUGAGUACCCGACUCUGUGUGGACGGCGGGCAAAGUCCUUUCUCAUGUGUCAUUGAGGUCGGCAGUUUUGUCGUUUCACUUUCACAGACAAAGGGCUGGAAUGAAGACAGGGUGCUGGGGGACCAGCUUUCACCACGACAUCGAAGACAACACCCACGGGGCCGGUGGAACAACAAGACCGAGGGCUGGGUCCUGCCCGGGUGACGUCAUGGAGAGAGCUGCCCACCUCCCAGCUAUUAAGUGAAAGAGAAAUAAACAUCCACUUUGUCUGA